CAAGGAAUCUUGCGCAAUGGGCGAAAGCCUGACGCAGCAACGCCGCGUGGGGGAUGAAGGCCUUCGGGUCGUAAACCCCUUUUGCUGGGGAAGUAACUGACGGUACCCAGCGAAUAAGCCACGGCUAACUACGUGCCAGCAGCCGCGGUAAUACGUAGGUGGCAAGCGUUGUCCGGAUUUACUGGGCGUAAAGCGCACGCAGGUGGCCUGCAAAGUCUGGGGUGAAAUCUCCCGGCUCAACCGGGAGAGGUCUCUGGAUACUGGCAGGCUUGAGGGCAGCAGAGGAGAGCAGAAUUCCCGGUGUAGCGGUGAUAUGCGUAGAUAUCGGGAGGAAUACCAGUGGCGAAGGCGGCUCUCUGGGCUGUCCCUGACGCUGAGGUGCGAAAGCGUGGGGAGCAAACCGGAUUAGAUACCCGGGUAGUCCACACUGUAAACGUUGGGCACUAGGUGUGGGGGUAGUUGACCCUUCCGUGCCGUAGCUAACGCGAUAAGUG
rnacentral:rRNA from 1 species